AUAAAAUAUUGCUUUGCGUUAUCAUAUUCAUUCUAUUAAUCAAUUCUUUCAGCAAACUAAACAUAAAACGACGAUAACACCGAGAUAAAAAAAAAAUGUCGAAUACGACUGUGCCAAUGUGCCAUUCAGGUUCGAACUCUCUCCCACUGUACCAUAUUGUACCUCGCUAUGUCCUCACAUCGAUUGGAGUAUUUUCAAAUAUCUUCCUCCUUACUGGAAUGAUAAUGAAUCCUUUGAAAUGUUUUCGAAAUCCUUCAUCUUAUUUGAUUAUGAAUCUUGGAGUCGCGGAUAUUCUGACAUGUUGCUCGUCAUUUGUGCUUCUUUAUUGGCGUCCAUGCGCAAUUCGAUAUGAAACGUAUCCUUUUUUUAAUUUACCACCUUACAUUUCUGCCACUAGCAUUUUCACGAUGGCUUGUGACCGAUACACGAGUUGCGUUCAUCCGUUCAAAUAUAGACUCCUGAUUACUGGAAAAGUUACGCUCUCUGUAAUUCUUUUGCAGUUGUUGGUGUGCACUGGAAAUGUGAUAUUUGAAAUGUCGUUGGUAAAUUUGGCAAUCUAUAUAAGGAGCAUUGUAGCUAUUUGUAUGUGGUUCGGUACGGCAACUUUGUACGCUAAGGCGGCAUACGUUUUGAAAAGUAAUUCAAGAUAUUUAAAGGGUGUCACAGGAAUUUCGGCGUCGACUGCUCCGUGCCGAACCCAAAGUGCACGUCUGGUGAAUGAAAAACGUUUGUUGACAAC